CUACCCUAAUCACUAACCGUAACCCAUACCCUAACCCUUACCUAACCCUAAACUUAACCCUUACCUUAACCAUUUUAAACGUCAUCUCAAAUGAGGUGACAUCAGAGUUGGGCGUCCCAAAGAUCCCAGAUAGCAAGGACCGAUUGGCCUUGCCAAAGAGGGCUGCACUGCUAGUGGUAUACACCUCCUUUUACCUUGCUGUCUCUCCCCCUCUUCAGUGGCUGGGUUCCUCAGUGACUGCAGGCUGUCUCUCCCCCUCUUCAGUGGCUGGGUUCCUCAGUGACUGCAGGCUGUCUCUCCUCCUGUCUUCAGUGGCUGGGUUCCUCAGUGACUGCAGGCUGUCUCUCCACC
ensembl:lncRNA